rnacentral:lncRNA from 1 species
GGAAGCGAGAAUGUCGGCUUGAGUAACGAAAACAUUGGUGAGAAUCCAAUUCCCCGAAAACCCAAGGUUUCCUCCGCAAGGUUCGUCCACGGAGGGUGAUUCAUACAAGCUAAAUCUUCUAAUCAAUGGUGGGCCAAUAAUGAAUUUUUUUGCAUAUGUAUUAAGACGCUUGGCCUGAUUUCGAAAUUGUCCAGAGUUUUAUAUGUUGUUUUCAUUGCAAAAUGAUGGGUCUCGUUCCAUAACUUUCCAAUUACGAGUACGAGAAUUGAAAACAUGAAAAUUCUCAAUUCUCUAUGGCGUCUAGUAGAUAGAAACAAGAAAAUCAGAAGAAUCUUUCUCUCUAUUCACUAUCAUUCUGCGUCUUCGACUUCUAUUAGUUUCUUUUCUUCUUUAAUGCAAUAGCUAUAGUUUGAUAUAAGAAUCCAUUUCUCAAAGUAAUGGAAACCAUUCUCUUAUAGGAAAUGGUUCGAAAAUCGCAGGAUAGGGUAUUUCUAUAUGUGAUAGAUAAUCCAAAUGCAAAAAUUUGUCUUCUAAAAAGGGAAAUAUUGAAUGAAUAGAGCGUAAAUUCCGAAACUUUGGUAUUUCUUUUUCUUUCGGACAAAAAAAUUCCCGUAGCGAGAAUGGGAUUUCCACAACGAUCGCAAACCCUUCAGAUAGAAUCUGAGAAUAAAACUCAGAAUAAAAAUAAUUUUCCGAGUGGCGGCAUUCUUGAAAAAGAAUACAAUAGAUUAGAAAUCAAUUCGAAAUUUACAAUUUUGUAAUGGGACCUUCCCCUUAUGCUAUUUGCAACUUUAGAACAUAUACUAACUCAUAUCUCUUUCUCAACGAUUUCAAUUGUGAUUACGAUUCAUUUUAUAACCUUAUUAGUUCAUGAACUUGGAGGAUUACGUGAUUCGUCAGAAAAAGGAAUGAUAGUUACUUUUUUCUCUAGUCUGCAUUGAAACCCUUACACACUAAUGGGUGUAAAGAAAUAGUACGCCCCUCUACUAAAGUGGGUUGAAAGGCCUGUAUGCCUAAUCUAUGCAGGGUAGGUGCUCUAUUUAACAGUACAGGAUGUCCCCGCAUAACUUCUUGAAGUAUUUCCCAUACUUCUCAUUUUGUUCUAGGAUUCUUCUUUUUUUGUGGGCCAUUUAUGGCAUGCAGGAAGAGCCCGAGCUGCUGCAGCAGGUUUUGAGAAGGGAAUCGAUCGUGACUUGGAACCUGUUCUUUACAUGAACCCUCUUAACUAAGAUUUUCUUAUUUAUACCUAUUCUACUUUUUUUCUGUUCUGGCUCGGUUAUUCCAUCUAGCCAAGCCAUUCAUUCCUUUUUAUGAAAGAAAGAUAAGGGACAGAAAAAAAUGAACAAAGAAUAUCACUACUGUAUAAACAAAAAGUUUGAGAGUAAGCAUUACAUAAUCUCCAAGAUUUUUUUAAGGAAUAGAUUACCAGUUUUUCCUUACCACACGGAUCCACUAGGAUGGGUUUUUUUAUACCUAAAAAUGCAAAAAACACGAAUAAUCCCGCUAAAGUAAUAGGAAUUAGGCCUAAGACGAUUCCAAAUAGAAAAACUUCAAUCAUUUCGAUUUGUUCGAGGGGAUAAAAAAAGAGGUACGAUCUAUCCCUAAAUAGUACUCUAAAUUAUCCACGAAUCUCAAUGACCAAGAAAAGAAUUCCUAAUUAGUCUGGAAAAGAGUCGUAGAAUGCCAGGAAUCCCAAAGGGAAUCGAAGUUAUAGAUCCCUUUUUAAUAGAAGCAAUUCUUUCUUGCAAAGAACCCAUUUCUGUACUAAGAGUGGGUUCCUUCCAAUUUUGUUUGCCCAAAAGACAACUUUUUUUCUCUCGAUUUUGUCGAGUCAUUACAUUGAUUCAAUAAAUGAUUAUCAAGCGGUUCUUAUUCGAAGAACCCUUGCCUUUUGUUUAGCCCCGUUUAAAUUGGUACUAAUACUAAUGUAGUUGUAGAAAGAGUACCUCUUUUUUCCUGGACUUCAAGCAGUUUAGCUUUAACCCGGAACAACCUGUUCUUCCUGAAUACCUUGAUUCAAGGACAAAGAAUUUCCUGCAAUCGUACUCUGGCAACUUUACGUAAGGCAGAGUUGGGUUUUUUGGGGUUGAUAGUGGAAAAGUCGACAAAUAAGUCACCCUUACUGUCCCUUUACAGAACCGUACAUGAGAUUUUUCACCUCAUACGGCUCCUCGGUCAAUUCUUUCGAAGGGAUCCUUUUCCUCGUUCGAGAGUCUCCGCCCUUCUUCCACUCCGUCCCGAAGACUAACUAAGACCAAUUGAGUCACGUUUUCAUGUUCUAAUUGAACACUUUCCAUUUAUGAUAUGAUUAAAGGAGAAGAUUGUUCUUUUACCAAACAUAUGCAGAUCAAAUCACGUCUUAUAAUAAGAAGAAAUAUUUCUCGGUAUCAAUCCCCUUGCCCCUCAUUCUUUGAGAAUUAGAAGGAUCCUUUUCGAGUUUCCAUUUCUUCAUUUGUAAUCUGGGCUCUUCUAUCUUUGACUUAUUUUUUUGGCUUUAUUCUUUAUUUAUUUCAUUUCGAUUUUUCCCUCUUCCUCCAUCCCUCAUUGUACAACAAUUUAAUUUGGAAAAGGGAUGUAGCGCAGCUUGGUAGCGCGAGCGAAUUCUCGAUAUUCCUUUUUAUUUCUCAUCAAACGAAUGGCAUCUUCUUCUGGAAAUCCUAGCUAUUCUUAGCAUGAUUUUGGGGAAUCUCCUUGCUAUUACUCAAACAAGAAUGAGAACUUUGUGUAACUCUUCUACCUCUAGUAAAAAUUCUGGUGUCCUUGCCCGAUAAUAAGCACUAGCAGGUUGGUGAAGCAUAAUCCUCGCGUGAGGGAAUGCUAUACGCUUGGUGGGUUCUCCUCCAAGCAGAAUGAAGGACGCCAUGGAGGCGGCUAUUCCGAGGCAUAUUGUAUAUAUAACCGGUGUCACCGUUUGCAUCGUAUCAAAAAUAGCCAUUCCUGAGAUUAGCCACCUGCAAUAGUCAAGAAUUCUUGACGGUAUCUAGCCGGAACAACCUGUUCUUCCUGAAUACCUUGACCCAUCAAAAGGGGUCCCAACCCCUGGGGAUAGGGUAAUACAUCUAAGAAAUUAUUCCAUCGAACGUACUCCCCCCUGGAUGCGGGAAUAGCCGUUGCGAGACAGCCAGAAGCAGAAGGUAAAAUACGAGGUACUUUAUUGCUUAGUCUAGCUUUUAUGGAAGCUUUAACAAUUUAUGGACUAGUUGUGGCACUAGCGCUUUUAUUUGCGAACCCUUUUGUUUAAUCUUAAAAAAAAUUCUUUCGAUUUUGAUUAGAUACUUUUUUCUUUUUUUAGUAAAUUGGUAUUUGCUUCCGCAAUUCCAAUUAUAUCAAUACUUUAUUUAAUUUACUCCUAUUUAUUACUCCUGGAAUUAUCUAUUUAUCGGGACAGAUAAUACCCCAUUCUAGGAAGGGUCCGAAUUGGAUAGCAGCAAUAAUCAAUUUUAGCACGAAUUGUUUGGAGGGGAAGUCUACCCUUUUUAAUAGAUUCGGCGCGUGCAAUUUCUUCUCCUCCGAGACGACCCGAAGACUAUCCAUAUCCUAUGUACCUAACCCUUCUAGGGGAUUCUGUGUCAGAAAGCGCGAAUAUUUAUUUCAUUCCAUUAAAAAUAAGAAGCCAAUUCUGUUCAUAAGAAGAAAGCUUCUUCAUGAAAGGUCAAAAAUAGACUUGGAUUUCAUGGGUUUCUUAAUGACUAGCUGAAAAAGCUUUAUUGCUAUCUCUAGAGGUAAUCCACAUUGAUGUAAUGAAAGCGAAGGACCCACAACAAUGACAGAACGCCCCGAGUAAUCGACCCGUUUCCCAAGCAGAGUCUCGCGAAACCUUCCCUCUUUACCUUCAAUUACAUCUGAAAGUGAUUUGUAUACUUUAUUAUGACCAUCCCUAACUAUGAAAACCUAGAAAUAUACAUACCCAGUUAAGGUGGGAUAUGAUUGCAUCGCGGUGUCUAAGGACCCGAUCUAAUAGAUCAUUGUAUCGAGUAGUUGGAUCAUAGUCUCUUACCAUAAAAAUUGCUGCAUGUGCAGCAGCACCGACUAUUAGAAAUCCGCCAAUCCACAUGUUGUGUGUGAACAAGGAAAGUUGUGUACCAUAGUCAGUAUCUAGGUAUGGAUAGGGAGGCAUAGAAUACAUAUGAUGAGCUACAACAAUGGUUGUAAAGCCUAGCAUAGAUAGGUUAAGAGAUAAUUGAGCAUGCCAUGACGUUGUUAAGAUUUCAUAAAGACCCUUAUGGCCUUGUCCUGUAAAUGGGCCCUUGUGAGCCUCCAAAAUAUCUUUAAGUCCAUGGCCAAUACCCCAUCAAAGUGGUCUCUUCUCAAAAGCUUAUCUGCCAGAUGAAAACAAGUUCGUAGUAACAGGUGGCCUGAUCUUAGGCCCUGACUCACCCUCCAUGGACGAACCUUGCGGAGGAAACCUUGGGUUUUCGGGGCAUUGGAUUCUCACCAAUGUUUUCGUUACUCAAGCCAACAUUCUCGCUUCCGCUUCGUCGGCCCCCGCUUUCGCGGUUGCUUCCCUCUAAGGCGGAACGCUCCUCUACCAAUGCAUUUUGACAUCCCACAGCUUCGGCAGAUCGCUUAGCCCCGUUCAUCUUCAGCACAAGGGCGCUCGAUCAGUGAGCUAUUACGCACUCUUUAAAGGGUGGCUGCUUCUAGGCAAACCUCCUGGCAGUU